UGCCAGCAGCCGCGGUAAUACGGAGGGUGCGAGCGUUGUCCGGAAUUAUUGGGCGUAAAGCGCACGUAGGCGGACUUUUAAGUCGAGGGUGAAAUCCCAGGGCUCAACUCCGGAACUGCCUCCAAAACUACAAAGCUAGAGGAUGUGAGAGGAUAGUGGAAUUCCGAGUGUAGAGGUGAAAUUCGUAGAUAUUCGGAAGAACACCAGUGGCGAAGGCGGCUUUCUGGACCGAUACUGACGCUGAGACGCGAAAGCGUGGGGAGCAAACAGGAUUAGAUA
rnacentral:rRNA from 1 species